rnacentral:rRNA from 1 species
CCUAGGGGUGGCUGCAGUGGGGAAUAUUGGACAAUGGGCGAAAGCCUGAUCCAGCCAUGCCGCGUGUGUGAAGAAGGCCUUCGGGUUGUAAAGCACUUUCAGUGGGGAAGAAAGCCUUGGGGCUAAUACCCUCGAGGAAGGACAUCACCCACAGAAGAAGCACCGGCUAACUCCGUGCCAGCAGCCGCGGUAAUACGGAGGGUGCGAGCGUUAAUCGGAAUUACUGGGCGUAAAGCGCGCGUAGGCGGUCUGAUAAGCCGGUUGUGAAAGCCCCGGGCUCAACCUGGGAACGGCAUCCGGAACUGUCAGGCUAGAGUGCAGGAGAGGAAGGUAGAAUUCCCGGUGUAGCGGUGAAAUGCGUAGAGAUCGGGAGGAAUACCAGUGGCGAAGGCGGCCUUCUGGACUGACACUGACGCUGAGGUGCGAAAGCGUGGGUAGCAAACAGGAUUAGAUACCCUUGUAGUC